AUUGAACGCUGGCGGCAUGCCUUACACAUGCAAGUCGAACGGCAGCACGGGGGCAACCCUGGUGGCGAGUGGCGAACGGGUGAGUAAUGCAUCGGAAUGUACCCAGUAGUGGGGGAUAACUAGUCGAAAGACUGGCUAAUACCGCAUACGCACUGAGGUGGAAAGCGGGGGAUCGCAAGACCUCGCGCUAUUGGAGCAGCCGAUGUCCGAUUAGGUAGUUGGUGGGGUAAAGGCCUACCAAGCCUGCGAUCGGUAACUGGUCUGAGAGGACGACCAGUCACACUGGGACUGAGACACGGCCCAGACUCCUACGGGAGGCAGCAGUGGGGAAUUUUGGACAAUGGGCGAAAGCCUGAUCCAGCAAUGCCGCGUGUGUGAAGAAGGCCUCGGUUGUAAGCACUUUGUCUAGGAACGAAAAGGUACCGUGCUAAUACCAUGGCGUGAUGACGGUACCUGAGAAUAAGACACCGGCUAACUACGUGCCAGCA
rnacentral:rRNA from 1 species